rnacentral:lncRNA from 1 species
GAAGAGGAACGCAUGCUAAAUGUACUAAAACUUGAUGAGAGAGGGAAGAAUCGCCUAAACAUUUUUUUUUUUCAAUAAGGAAUGCCAGGCUACAAAUUUAUGUUUUUUUCCGGUCAAAAUUCUGAAACUCAUCAUGCAGAUGCGAAAGAGCUGUACAAGUCUCACUUUCGUGUCUAAGCCACGUCAUUGAGACAUCUAGUCGAAAUUGCCAUAUCUUCCUGCAUGACAGCUCGCGUACGAACGGAAAGUCUGUGUUGAAAACUGGAACCUCACUCGAUAGGCAUCAGCGUCAGUAAGAACAAAAUAGGUACUAACGAGUUCAUUUUUAACGUGGACGUCACCAAAAGUGUGUGUUAGAUGUCUCCGGUUAUAAUUCUAAUGGCCGUAAGCUUUAUUAUGAUAGGUGCAACCUCAUAUGACCUCCGCGAGCAACCUCCUACUGAUAUGGAGGAGUGCCACGAGAUGAAGGAGAUAUGCAAAAAUAAGGGAGGAUACAUCAUUGGAGGAGUACAUCCACUACCAAUCAUGUAUGUACAAGAAGAGAUGGACGAUUGGGCACCUGAAUGUGGAUGCAGCAUAAACCCAGAAGUGUAUUCUUAUUUAGAAACUCGUCACUAUGAUAUCGAUGGUUUCAAGCUUUCGGUGUAUGAUGACUUGCCUGGUAUCCAAGGAUGGUUAGAAGAAAACGACAUCAAAUUCAUGCCAGGCAUCAAUAUGGAGGAGUGUCACAAGAUAUGCUACAAACAUGGAGGAUACAUCAUUGGAGGACUUCAACUGCCGACAAUAUAUAUCUUGCAUGGACGGGAAGAGACGAACAAUGGAGUGCCUGAAUGUGAAUGUAGAUUGAACCCAGGCGUAGAAUUUUAUCUAGAUGGUGAAGGUUAUGAUGUCAAUAGUUUCAGGCAUUCGGUGUAUGAUGGCUUGCAAGGUAUCCGAAAAUGGUUGAAAGAAAACGAAAUCAAAAUCAGACCGAGGUUCAAAUUUAAAUAUUGAAAGAUUCCGAAUAUUCUCCUAGUAAUUAUCGAAGUCCAUCAGAUAUAUUACUAAAGCAACUCGACUGCGUAAGUACGCAAGCUUAUAUCUCGUUUGCGAUGUCUGAAAAGCUCUGCCUUUAUGUUAUUGCUUCAAAGGAGAACACAUUGACUUUAGAGUCCCUUUAUACUGAGAGUCAAGACAAUUCGGCUCAUGGAUGUCACAAACGGGAAUGAAGAUUACAGAAAUUGAACGUUUUUCGUAAUCUUUGAUCGGCCCAUUCUCAAAUUCCUGUCUCCGUUCCUCCUCUCAUUCCGUUUGUUCCUUGCCGAACCCGUAAUUCCCUGGUCCAUUCCAGAUUAUAAUCUUUGCAAUCGGAAAAAAAUGUAAUCUUUAUCCCGUUUGUGACACUGUGGAGGCCUAAAAUACGGGAACCAAUCAGAAAUGGAUUCAAAUUGUCUUGACUCUCAGUAUAAAGGGACUCUAAUUGACUUCAUUCCUUGAAGUUUUUGCAGAAGAAAAAUCACGGCAGUUUUAAAGAUUUGCCGUUGAGUAGUUUUCCAUUUAAAAAAUGAAGUAUGACAGGAAGUCCGCGACGCAACGUCGCAAACCGAGUCAUGUGAUUGCCGACUUACACCGUUGAUUUAUUAUAUGGUAUUGUAAAGAAAUUGUCAGCUUAUUUUAAAUAUAUUGUAAAAGUAGCGUUAAAAAUGUUUCUACAAUGUGCCUACUGUCCAACAAAUCGUUACCAAGU